UGGUGUGUAAAGAACUUUUAACCAAAUAAAAUCAUACAUUUUUAUAGUUAUAACAACAAUUUCUCAUGUCAAACUGUUUUUUUUUUUCCUUUUCUUUACUCUACAGGCACCUGUAUGGGUUUGUAGCAGACAGAUCAUGGCACAGGUCUGCUACAAGAACACAUCCAGAGGUUUUUAGCUGAGGUUCAGAUCACCUCCAUUCCUCAGCACCAUGUACAUACCACGCCAGGUCAGAAAGAAAGUCCCAUCAAUGAACAAGUCUAACCUACUGGAAGAAGCAACCAGAUCAGAUUUGGGCCUAAGCACCUUGAUACCUCACAGAAGAUGAAAUGACUGAGUCACCACAACAAUCUAUGAUCAACGACCACGUCUGUCAUCCUGAAAGCACUUUGACCUUCUCUGUGAUGGUGUAUGAGACAAGAGAGGAAACAAAACCAAUAAAAUAUUGAAUAAAACUG